rnacentral:lncRNA from 1 species
GAAACUGCAUUCACAACGGGAUUCAGCUGGACUACACAAACAGACCUGAUUACUGCCAGCCCUGUUCAAUUAAAUCAACACUUAAAUACAAUUUUAUCUACAGCAUAAAUUUGAUUAACGUUGAUUGAAGAUUUUACGCAGUAACACACAUUUAGCAGGCAUCCAAGGAGAGCUGUCUGUUUCUUUGCAUGUUUUAACCAUGAACCGCGUAUCAUUUCAUUUUCUUUUCUUUUUCAUUUUUAAAGAUGAAGAUGUUAACCAGGCCCUCAAAAACAAUCAUGUUGCCGAGAACUAUAAAAAACAGGACAUAAAUGAAGAUGGAGCUGAGUCUGAGAAAAAUGAAGAAGAAUGGAUGGAUGAUAAUGAAUCUGGCCAAGACCUUUACAGUUAUGAAGAGAAUAAUCAGGAAAUUAGUAAAGCCCAAGACCUCACUGGACCCGCACAAGACGGGAAUAUCAACGAUUAACAAGUUAAAUGACAAGCACUGAGCAGCAGGGACUCAGAAAUAACUAACACUUUACAAUAAGGUUAAUUUGUUAACAUUAAUGCAUUAAGUAACAUGAUCCAGCAAUGAAGAAUAUAUUUUUGCAGCAU